GAUGAACGCUGGCGGCGUGCCUAAUACAUGCAAGUCGAGCGAACAGAUGAGUAUCUUGCUCCUCUGACGUUAGCGGCGGACGGGUGAGUAACACGUGGAUAACCUACCUAUAAGACUGGGAUAACUUCGGGAAACCGGAGCUAAUACCGGAUAAUAUAUUCAACCGCAUGGUUCAAUAGUGAAAGACGGUUUUGCUGUCACUUAUAGAUGGAUCCGCGCCGCAUUAGCUAGUUGGUAAGGUAACGGCUUACCAAGGCAACGAUGCGUAGCCGACCUGAGAGGGUGAUCGGCCACACUGGAACUGAGACACGGUCCAGACUCCUACGGGAGGCAGCAGUAGGGAAUCUUCCGCAAUGGGCGAAAGCCUGACGGAGCAACGCCGCGUGAGUGAUGAAGGUCUUCGGAUCGUAAAACUCUGUUAUUAGGGAAGAACAAAUGUGUAAGUAACUAUGCACGUCUUGACGGUACCUAAUCAGAAAGCCACGGCUAACUACGUG
rnacentral:rRNA from 1 species